CAGUGCGGUACCAAGCGCAGCACGGUAGGGACGUUUUUUACGCUUCUUUCUAUUGAUUUCCAGAACACCGCGUUAUUGUGAUGUUUUUUAAACAAAAACAUGAUUAAUAGUGCAUAGUCGUUACACUAAUUUGGUCUAGAUUCGGUCGUUUUUCAGUUGUUUCUUAUUUUAAUGAGUUGUUCGUGAUUUUGAGCGACUCUUUUGGAUUAUUUUUCGGACAUCAAUUGAGCCUCAAACAAUGUCAUCUAAGAUCACGAACAGAAACAACAUUUAAAUACGAACGAACGAACGACCAAACAGACUAUUAAUACUGUGUUCACUGUUUAAAAUGACUCUGAACGCGCCCUAAGAGAAAGAGACGGAGCUGGUUCUCAAAAUAGCACGUUCAGGAAUAGAAAAAAAAUGGCCUCAGUUGGUGGCGGGACGGCGGCGGGCACAGAUCGCUCGUGGUGGGCCACAACAUGGAGCGCCAUGGCUGACCUCGCCGAGGCGGUCGACGAUCUGAUAUGUAGCUUCGAUUAUAUGGACACAGCCAUGGACAACCUAGUCAUGCUUAUCUUCAUCUGGCUACUCUUCUCCAUAGUCCUUCUCGGCAUAGCCAAAUGGGCUUACAGUCGCUUCAAGCCGAAAGCUGUUGAACCAGAAAAGCCGAAAGAAGACCCAAAAUCAGUCAAAUCUACGGCUACUGAGAUCGUUAACAGCGCUGAUACCGUGUUGGCUACUACUGCUAAAGUUAAAAGUGCUGCGUUUAAUUCGUUCAAGCCUAAGCCUAGUGGAUUUGUGCCAGCAACUCCUCCCAACAAGCGUCGUCUAGGACGCAUGUCUCCUGGCCCCGAAGCAUUGCACAAGAAACACCAAAGCAUCAUAGUACCGACGUGCACGGGCCCGGACCCGCCGAGCGUACAGUGGGUGAACGACUUGUUGACGUGGUUAUAUAAUGAUCUGGUUAUUGUGAACGAACUAGUGCAGCAAUGGAUUGUGUCCAUGAACGAGUUCUCGAAGAAGUCGGUGGAAGAGCAAGGCAUCGGAGUGGAGCUGGUGCGCGCGCUGGACAGCAACCCACCUAACGUGUCCAACGUGUUCUGCGAGUGUGACUCUAAGGACGACGUGACAAUCACGUGUGACUGUGAGGCAACGCCUGCCUUCCAAAUCAAAGCCUUCAGUCAGCGAGGGGAGAAGGUGGAAGUGUCACACUACCGAGUCAAUGUGAAUAGGUUCCGCGCUCGUCUCAACGUAGUCUGCAUAACAGAGAAGUUGACGGGAGAACUACGAUGCGAUGGUUGGCCAGAGGUCAAAGUGGCCCUGGCUCCCGUGGGACCUCUGAAGACGUCCUCCAACGAGGCAAACCUACAACAACUAGUCAGUGACAUCGUGGUAAAUGCGCUCCGAAACACGCAGCUAGCGUUUAAUUUAUCUCACUACCCCACGUGUCCGAGGCUGCGAAGACACUUUGACACGUCGCCGCGGCUGCCCCUCCACUAUGAUUCCAUGUUGUCACACGACCGGAUGUACGCGUCGACGCCGACGUCGGCCUCCAUGUCCAACGUGCAUCUCGGCGAGAAGAGGCUGCUUGUCAAGGUCGUCAACGCUAAGGACUUGGGAGGCAAGGCGGGCUGCCGCGCGCCAUACUGCGUGGUUGAGAUGGAUGAGCCCCCGCAGAAGAACCAGACUGCCUUUAAGAAGGACACUAACCAACCGCAGUGGGAGGAACAUUUCCUAUUCGAUCUCUCACCACAAACCGCGGAGCUGCUAUUUGAGGUGUACGACCGCACGGGCCCACCUUCCCCCGGCGGAGGCCCAUCCACACACAGGUUCCUUGGCCUGGGUCUGGUGGGUAUAGACGAGCUGCUGGCGGCGCCCUCGCAGCGGCAGCAGAUCGCGCUGCAGACAAGGCCUAUGGAGGAGCACGAUAUUUCGGGCACACUCACUGUAGAGUUCCUAUUCAUUGAGGGUGCAGACAUCCCUGACCUCGGUUCCCGGCCCGUAAAGAUCAAAGAAUCAUUACGUACGGUGUCGCCGCAGGGACACCUCACCACUACCACCAAGACAAUAUUUAAACAAAACGGACACGAAAACUCGGCACUGACAGAGUCGGCUCUCCGAGAACUGGAGUUGAGCCCCACUAGCGCCGCCAACAAAUCCACCCUCAUCAUACACUCCGUGCAACGGGAGCCGAAGAAGUCGAUCAAGGUCGAAUUAACUGAUUCCGGUAAAUUCAUCGAAGUGGAGCGAGAAGAUACGCUAAACAGCGUAGACUCAGCAGAACUCACUAACACCACAAUGGAGAGCAUAGACGAGAACAGAACAGAACAGCACGUGUCGCCCAACUCGUCGCCGGCGCGGCAAGUUCGCAUCAAGGAGAACGGUGCUAAGGCGAACGGAGAUACGGAGCAAGGAGAUUAUGUCCAAAAGCCUGAGGAGGCACCACCAGAGCCUGCGCCGCGGCAGAAGAGAAGGAGAGACUUCUUCGGUACCAUUAAAAGAAGGCUGGGCCGGUCGCGCACGCGCGGCACGUCGCUGGACCUGCCGAGCGACAGCGACGCCGACCAGAGCCGCGUGCGCAGCAUCAGCGCCGAGAGAAAUCAUCACGAUAAAGCCCUAUCCGUCCCCAAUAGAAACGUAUAUUCAGCGGGUGCGUCACCAGCGCAAUCUGGCGACGAGUCGAGAACAUCUAGAAGAUCCUCCCUCAGUGAAGUAUCCGGGUUCAGCACGGCGUCGGCGCGCACGUUCGUGCACGAGGCGUCCACGCUGGUGCUGGAGACGCUGGAGGCCGGCAUCAGGAAGCACUACCUGGUGCCGCUGGCCGUGGCGCAGCGCUCGAGGUGGCGGCGGAAGGGCGUGAAGCUGCACAUUUACAACGAGCACACGUUCAUCGCUAAGCAUUUGAGCGGCGGCACGGUGUGCGAGGUCUGCCAGAAGACGAUCGCGCGACGGCUCGGCAAGCAGGGCUAUGAGUGCCGCGACUGCGCGCUCAAGUGCCACAAGCACUGCCACAUCAAGGCCGCCACCGCCUGCCCCUCGUCCUCCGUGCAGAAUAUGGAGCUAUCCAUGCUCCCUGUGCUAAACGAAUAGCGAGCCGCGAGAAGACUGCAAGAAAAGAAACUUUUAUAAACCAAGCAAUUUCCACUAAGGUUUAAACUGGGCUUACAUCUCAUCUCCGUACACCGACAAGAAUAUAAGGAUGUUGUGAUUUUUCUGACUAUAUUAAAACGCUUCGAUGCACAAAGCAUUACAUUUUACCAACAAAUAUUUUAAUCUGUCUGUUUUAAACCUGUCGACAAAUAAUACUUAAGGCAAGGUAUAUCUUAUUAUGUAAAUUUACAAGUCUCUUAAUAUUUACCUAUAUAAACAGAUUUUAUAAACUAUAGUUAUUUUGUUUGCUGCUAUAAGUUGUCCUAUGGUUGUCCUAUACAGGCUGACAUGGUAUCAAGUUGAUCAACUAUCAACGUCAUUUUAGGAUAUUUCAUCUUAAAAAAAAAAACUUUUUAUUUGCAUAAAAUAUGGUACAACAAGGUGAUAUUGGAAAGGUUUUCCCGUACAGUGACAUAAAUGAAUUAUAAUUUAAUAAGUUUCUCAAUGUACGAAAAUUACAAAUUUCGAUUAGGUAAAUAUGCCUAAAACAGAACGAGAUGAAAAUAAUACAAAAUUAUUACGGCGACUUCACUUUUACUUUAAUAAGCAUAAAGUAUUUCUGUACAUUCAUGUCGACAAGUUUGAAACUGAUUAUAAAACCACAAAUCUCUAAGUACAACACUUAUGUACGCUUCUGUACUUUGUAUAUGUAUAGGCUUUUUUACAAAUAUAUUUACAAUAUUAAUGUUAUAAACUAGUUAUAAGGUAUUAGUGUUUCAGACUGCCUGGAAGGGUAACGUUCGUAAUAACUGUGUCAUAGCGAAACCAACCUUGUUUAAUGGAUAUAAGUGUUAAAAUCUUUUGAACGUUAUCCAUUGAUGUUGAUACCCGCUUUCUUUGGUAAAAUUAGAAUUAGUUUAGGUAUCGCUAGAGCCCACCCAGCAUUGAAAAUAAUCUAAUAACCACUUAACUCAGACGGUUGGUGAGCAGUUACCUAUUAAAAACUUGGUUUGUUCCUAACUCUAGAAGUCUAGACAAAUAUUAAAUUUUUACUUUAGCCAAACAUCGAAACACAAUGUUAUCACUGUCAACCAUCUGAGUUAAGCGGUAGACCUAUACCACUGGCUGAGUGCAUGUGAACUUUAUGACCGCCAAACACGUCUGACGCGCACGGCUACAGCCCAAUGUCAACCUUCUUGCAUUCCGAUAAGGUUCAUUAUGACGCGCCGCCAGUGAUCAGAAUAGGCAAAGUAUAAAUACCUAAACUUGGUAGAUUAAAGUCAUAAACUGGAGACUGCCUUGCUAUAAAAUAAAAAAUCCGGAACGAAAGUCUCGGAAACGUACUAAGUAAAUAAUAUUCUUAUAAAUACAGCAACAACGCAUUCCUCGUUUUUGUCCAAUACAAUCAAUAGGAGUAAAUUAAAAAAAAUGUUUUUAUUUGUAACUUUCUAUAUAUACUGCUCAAAAGAAAAUAGGGGCCAUUAAGCGUUUUGAACGCUACGUCGUUUCGUGAAAAGCAUAACGUGAAAACAGGGUGUUUAAGUGCCUCGUUUGCCAAAAUAAAAUAUUGUUUUAUUUUACGCCUAUUGAUUGUAUUGUAUUGGACAAAAACGAGGAAUGCACUGUUUUUACCGUAUUUAUAACGCUAUUAUUUACUUUCCGGGACUUCAGUCCCGCAUAAAAAGUUUAUCGCAAGACAGUUUGCACUAUAUGACUUUGUUCUACCAAGUGUAGGUAUUUAUUUGUACUCUUGCCUGUUCCGAUGACUGCGCGCCGCACACGAUAGGCGCGGCGCUCUAAGAGUUGGACGUAUUUUUGCAAACGGGAACCAACCCACACCAAAUACGCAUAGAAAAUCGAACCUUAAUGUUAAAACAAUGUAGUAAACAUUUGAAUGAGUAGGUAUUUGGUGUGGGUUGGAUAAAAAGCAUGUGAGACCUAUAUAAAAUGUUCUUAGUGUGCUCUUAGAGGAUAGGUAUAAAUAUAACCAAAUGGAGAAGCCAUUAUCAUUCGUUCCUCUCUGUCGAAAAUAGUCGGCCAAUGGUCAUACACAAUGUAUGGACUGACGUUUAUCUGACAUGGCUAUUUUUACAUAACGCAUACAUGUGACGUUCCCCUCUCCCGCAAAAAUCGGUAGACUGUUUAGUACAGAAAAUUACAGACAAGGCGUCUCCGUUUGGUUAUAUCCUCUAAGGCUCUGCUGAUGAAAGAAUUUUAAAAUGUGCCCAGGUUUAUUUUGUAUUAUUUUGGAUUUAAUUUUGUAGUGAAUUAACUUUAUAUAUUUAUAUUAAUGCCGACAAUUUAAACUAUACGUCACUACGUAGACAUUACUAAAUAUAAAUAGUUACGAUUUCAUAAAGUUUGCUCUGUAGAAAAUCUAAUCGAAAUUAUCAAUUAUAAACCUUAUUAUAAAAACCGAAUGCACCCAGCCAAGGAUCCAUUUAAAAAACCAGCCAAAGUAUAUAACCGAGAUGUUUCUAUUUAUCUCUACCUCAAAUCUAAAAAAACAAUUUAGUUACCAAAAUAUACAUCACAUUUUUGUUAAUUUAUGUUGUUAUCUAACUUAAAUAAGGUCCUACGGAGGAAUUGUGACAAAUGGUAAAUUAAACCUUAAACUUAGUGUACUAAGUGCUAUUUUGCACAAAUUGUGAUCUGAUAUGUUAAAGUGCAAUAAUUAAUACUUAAAACAUUCACUCGCUUCAGCUUUCAUCGCUACUUAACUACAAAGAACUCCAAAAAGUGACUUAAGUAGGUAAUACUUUUUGUUAAAUAAAUAAAUAAAUGUAUGAAAUAUUUCACUUUAACUCGAAUAAUUUAAUAUUGUCUUCGGUUACCGCGAUAGUUACUCAUGAAAUGUUUUAUUUCUCGAAUAAUUUAUUUCAAAAGCUAACAAUGUCAUAGAUAGGAACAUACAAAUCUAGAAAUAGCUGUUAAAGCCUUUAAACGCUAUACCUACGUUUUAUACAAAACUCACUCAUACGCCAAGAUCAAGGGUGCAAGCGAGCUAAUAUGAACCUUAUGUAAAAGUAUUAAGGUUAUAUUGACAGCGUUCGUCAAGUGUUCAUGGCGAUGUAAGCACAAUUACUCACAAAAAGGUGUUUUGCUGUCCAAAGCAUUUAAAAAAACACUAAAAUUGGAGCUAUUUCAUCAAGAUCCUUUGACAUGGUUAAAGUAGCUUAGACCUUCAGAAUCUCAAUUCUCAAAUGACCUAGUACUCCUAAAUAGGGAGAUAGCUUGACAUUUUCACAAGUGAUUUAUCACUAAUGUGUGAUAUUAACUGAUAUUCCUUUUAUUCACAAAUGUGAAGAAAUUCCUCACUGUCUUUCGAAGAAUAAAGACCCAAUUGCAUAAAGUCUGCUGUAAAAUAAAGUUAUUUUGUAAACGGAUCUAACGAUAAGUAACAUUAUAGACAUUAUAGUCUCUAUCCCCCUCUAAUAGCUAGGUUAUUGUGGAAUAACCUAAGGAUAGCUCAGAGAUGCCACCAAUUAUUCACUACUGCGGCCUCAUUAUUACUAAGCCUAAGUAUUUCCCUGGAUACUGCAUUCUAUUCCCACUUCUGAAUUAUCCGCCGUUUUGUAAAAUUAGCGUGCAUACAACUUUUAUUCCCAAUGUAUAUUAAAAAUUGCAGUAUCCAGUGAUUUGACUUUGUAUAAAAUAAAUAUACACUGACAAUUGUAAAUUUCAAUAAUUGUUGACGCAUAAUAUGUGGUUAUGACCGAUAGAUAUUAUUUAUAAAUGUUGCGCUAUGUGUUUUUUCUGUAAUUUUAUUUUCUCUUUUUUAAUAAAAGAAAUGCCUUUUUAAA